UGUCAUUUGGCCCAGUGGUGAAGGCGUCUAACUAUUAUCAAACACUAUUGCCAAACAUACCUACGUUGAGUACCUAAGGAAUCGGAAGAUCGUUAGUUCAAUCCUAGCAGUGCAG